AACUUAAGCAUAUCAAUAAGCGGAGGAAAAGAAACUAACAAGGAUUCCCCUAGUAACUGCGAGUGAAGCGGGAAAAGCUCAAAUUUAAAAUCUGGCGGUCUUUGGCCGUCCGAGUUGUAAUCUAGAGAAGUAAUGCCCGUGCUGGACCGUGUAUAAGUCUCCUGGGAUGGGGCGUCAUAGAGGGUGAGAAUCCCGUCUUUGACACGGACUACCAGUGCAUUGUGGUAUGCUCUCAAAGAGUCCAGUUGUUUGGGAAUGCAGCUCAAAAUGGGUGGUAAAUUCCAUCUAAAGCUAAAUAUUGGCGAGAGACCGAUAGCGAACAAGUACCGUGAGGGAAAGAUGAAAAGAACUUUGGAAAGAAAGUUAAACAGUACGUGAAAUUGCUGAAAGGGAAACGCUUGAAGUCAGUCCCGUUGGCCGGGGAUCAGCCUUGCUUUUGCAUGGUGUACUUUCUGGUUGACGGGUCAGCAUCAAUUUUGACCGCUGGAAAAGGGCCUGGGGAAUGUGGCAGCUUCCGCUGUGUUAUAGCCUCUGGUCACAUACGGCGGUUGGGAUUGAGGAACUCAGCACGCCGCAAGGC
rnacentral:rRNA from 1 species